AUUGAACGCUGGCGGCAGGCUUAACACAUGCAAGUCGAGCGAGCGGCGGACGGGUGAGUAAUGUCUGGGAAACUGCCUGAUGGAGGGGGAUAACUACUGGAAACGGUAGCUAAUACCGCAUACCAUAGGAUGAGCCCAAGUGGGAUUAGGUAUUUGGUGAGGUAAAGGCUCACCAAGCCGACGAUCUCUAGCUGGUCUGAGAGGAUGACCAGCAACACUGGGACUGAGACACGGCCCAGACUCCUACGGGAGGCAGCAUUGGGGAAUAUUGCGCAAUGGGGGCAACCCUGAUGCAGCCAUGCCGAGUGGAUGAAGAAGGCCUUAGGGUUGUAAAGUACUUUCAGCGGGGAGGCGUUACCCGCAGAAGAAGCACCGGCUAACUCCGUGCCAGCAGCCGCGGUAAUAC
rnacentral:rRNA from 1 species